rnacentral:rRNA from 1 species
GGUCCCUAUCUACCGUGGGCGCUGGAAAUUUGAGAGGAUCUGCUCCUAGUACGAGAGGACCAGAGUGGACGAACCUCUGGUGUACCGGUUGUGACGCCAGUCGCAUCGCCGGGUAGCUAUGUUCGGAAGGGAUAACCGCUGAAAGCAUCUAAGCGGGAAGCCUACCUCAAGAUAAGAUUUCCCUAGGACUUUAUGUCCUCUAAAGAGCCGUUCGAGACUAGGACGUUGAUAGGUUGGAUGUGGAAGCAUAGUGAUAUGUGAAGCUGACCAAUACUAAUUGCUCGUGAGGCUUGACUAUACAACACCCAAGCAGUUG